CACGUAGGGUGCGAGCGUUGUCCGGAAUUAUUGGGCGUAAAGAGCUCGUAGGCGGUGUGUCGCGUCGGCCGUGAAAACCUGCAGCUUAACUGUGGGCUUGCGGUCGAUACGGGCAUCACUGGAGUUCGGCAGGGGAGACUGGAAUUCCUGGUGUAGCGGUGAAAUGCGCAGAUAUCAGGAGGAACACCGGUGGCGAAGGCGGGUCCCUGGACACUUCCUGACACUGAGGCACGAAAGCUAGGGGAGCAAACAGG
rnacentral:rRNA from 1 species